AUUGAACGCUGGCGGCAGGCCUAACACAUGCAAGUCGAGCGAGCGGCGGACGGGUGAGUAAUGUCUGGGAAACUGCCUGAUGGAGGGGGAUAACUACUGGAAACGGUAGCUAAUACCGCAUACCAUCAGAUGUGCCCAGAUGGGAUGAGCUAGUUGGUGGGGGAAUGGCUCACCUAGGCGACGAUCCCUAGCUGGUCGGAGAGGAUGAUCAGCAACACUGGGACUGAGACACGGCCCAUACUCCUACGGGAGGCAGCAGUGGGGAAUAUUGCACAAUGGGCGCAAGCCUGAUGCAGCCAUGCCGCGUGUGUGAAGAAGGCCUUCGGGUUGUAAAGUACUUUCAGUCGGGAGGCGUUACCGACAGAAGAAGCACCGGCUAACUCCGUGCCAGCAGCCGCGGUAAUUC
rnacentral:rRNA from 1 species